CAGGUAGACCGCGCUGGUGUGUUCAAGCCACUCCUCUGGCGAGCACUCCCCGCGCUGGUCCCGGCGGUGACCCUGACGGGAGGCCUGGCUGCUUGCAAGAAAAAUCUGGAGGACAUGGCUGCUUGCCCAACCGCUGUGGCCCUGCAUCGUGUCUGCUCAUCGCUUUUUAUUUUAUACGAAGACAAGAACCGGAACCCUGGAAGUCUGCGCUUUUCGCAGAGGCAAAGCCAUUAACUGUACGAGUGGUUGCAGCCUGGCCAGCCCAGCCCUCACCAGAACCCCCCAGCAAGCCCGGAGGGGUCCGCACUGCGGGGCCAAGAGCAACAUCCAGGCUCCGAACCCCAGGUUUCCUCGUCAGCCAAUCGCGGCGCCGACACAGGAAACGCCUUCGGGUGGUAACUUACAAGAUUAAAAUCGAUUUGAUUGCUGAUUGUUCUGAACAAAUACAUCUUUUAUUUGAGGGAUGCCAUUUUGAAGACUGA
rnacentral:lncRNA from 1 species